UACAGAGGUCUCAAGCGUUGUUCGGAUUCAUUGGGCGUAAAGGGUGCGUAGGCGGCGCGGUAAGUCGGGUGUGAAAACUCGAGGCUCAACUUCGAGCUGUCGGCGGAAACUAUCUGGCUAGAGUCCGGAAGAGGAGAGUGGAAUUCCUGGUGUAGCGGUGAAAUGCGUAGAUAUCUGGAGGAACACCGGUGGCGAAGGCGGCAUCCUGGACCAACACUGACGCUGAGUGAGCGAAAGCCAGGGGAGCAAACGGG
rnacentral:rRNA from 1 species